GGAACACGGUCCAGACUCCUACGGGAGGCAGCACGUGAGGAAUAUUGCGCAAUGGGGGAAACCCUGACGCAGCGAUGCCGCGUGGGUGAAGAAGGCCUUCGGGUCGUAAAGCCCUGUCAGGCGGGAAGAAUAGCUCUAGGGCUAAUAUCCUUAGGGUGUGACGGUACCGCUGAAGGAAGCACCGGCUAACUCCGUGCCAGCAACCGCGGUAAGACGGAGGGUGCGAGCGUUAUUCGGAAUUAUUGGGCGUAAAGGGUGUGUAGGCGGCCGGUCAAGUCAGAUGUGAAAGCCCGGGGCUCAACCUCGGAAGUGCAUUUGAAACUGGUCGGCUUGAGUUCGGGAGAGGGAAGCGGAAUUCCGGGUGUAGAGGUGAAAUUCGUAGAUAUCCGGAGGAACACCGGUGGCGAAGGCGGCUUCCUGGACCGAAACUGACGCUGAGACACGAAAGCGUUGGGGAGCAAACAGGAUUAGAUACCCUGGUAGCUCC
rnacentral:rRNA from 1 species